UCUCCGUUGGUGAACCAGCGGAGGGAUCAUUACCGAGUUUACAACUCCCAAACCCAAUGUGAACGUUACCAAACUGUUGCCUCGGCGGGAUCUCUGCCCCGGGUGCGUCGCAGCCCCGGACCACGGCGCCCGCCGGAGGACCAACCAAAACUCUUAUUGUAUACCCCCUCGCGGGUUUUUUUUUAUAAUCUGAGCCUUCUCGGCGCCUCUCGUAGGCGUUUCGAAAAUGAAUCAAAACUUUCAACAACGGAUCUCUUGGUUCUG
rnacentral:misc_RNA from 1 species